CCCCUCAAACCCUAGCCACCACUGUUCACCCACCCCUUCUCUUCCUUUCCCCGCUCUUGCGCCGCCGCCGCCUUGCCUUCCCUCCCCGGCUUCUCCUCGCCAACGACAACUUGCUCCUCGCGCUCUCCCCUAUCCUCCCCUUCUCCUGGUGCUCCCUCCAUCACUCUCCUCCCAGUGGAGCAAGGGGACUGGGGGACUCGAUGGUGCAGGAUUGGAUUUGGGUGCGGUGAUGGAGUUUCGCCGACGACAGCCUCCCCCUCGAGCUCUCCCCUGUUCUCCCCCAUCUCCUGGCACUCCCCCACCGCUCUCCUCCCAGCAAGCAGAGGGAGCGGACGGCGUGGCACUAGAUCCGCGGCACGGUGAUGGAGUUCGAUAGUAAGGAGGUCAAUCUGUUGCCUCACCCCUUGACCCAUUGGGGAAGUCGUUCUGAUGUGUGCAAGGGAAAAAAAGAAGAAGAAAUCCCCUUCAUGUUGGAUCUAUGCAUGACUGAUCUGCUUCCCGUUCUGUGUCUACCACCUGCCAGCCAUGUUUUUUCUCAGAUGAGUGCAAACCUUUCCUCUAUUCUUGCUUGUCCAUGGUCAUGAGCUGCUUUUGACUUAUUGCCACAAUCUUAGCCGCUUGCCAUCUAUAUAUCUAUAUAUAUAUAAUGGUUGGAGGUCAGAGAUUAAUGGUAUGGCCCGUGCAAAUAUCUACCAAGAUUCAUACACCUACAUGCGCUGCUUAGGGACUCUGCAUUUUUCUUGGUAGAACUUGAAAUCUUGGUACAUAUAUAGAUGGCAAAUCUUUUCCUGUAGAACUGCAAAUGUUUUUUAAUUAAAAUUGAUACCCCCAUAUAUUUCUUGAUCACUGCCUGCGAACCUCUGUAACUAUUAGAUUCAGCUAUAACAUGGGAUUCUAAGUAGUGAAUAAGCUGGUUAUAUUUGCAUAUUUAAAUCCGAUUUUUAGGUGCCAUCUAUCUAUUUGUUGUAGUUCUCUACAGAAUCAAAUGCAAAAUCUGAAUGUUCAUAACCACUUUAUAAUUUAGGCCAGUUUGAGGUUGCGUCAUUGUGUGCCAUGCCGUCGAGCACCUACACACCUGCUCUUUUUAGGUUGAAUGUGCUUUGUGUUUCUAUGGUUCAUCCUAUGAAAUGAUUUAUUCUCUGAAAAGUUAUUGUUAUGCAUGGACUACUUUUGUUCCAGCAUGAUGACCCUUCUUGGGGGUGGAUCGACAGCUUGAGUAACCAUGGCUGUAAAAGUUCAAGCGGAGAAAGUUGCAUGGAUUGGUUGCUGCCAUAGAAGGUGCUCAAGUUUGUCAAUACUGUGGGUGCUGGUUAGCUUGAUGCUCUGUCGGCCGUGCGGCACCACCACUGUUUAACGAUUCCAGAUCUGGUGAUAUUGGAACCAUGUGUUGUCGCCUUGCCCAGGGUCCAUUUGUAGUUUGCUUCUCAUGGUCACUUUUGGAAUGCUACAGUAUUUCUGAUUUGUACUGCAUAUCUUUUUCUUUGGUUGUGUUUGUAUAUAGUUCCAACAACCAAAGCUUAGAUGUUCACUCCAAUGGUUUUCAGCCGAGGCAACAGCUCUGGCAUAACUGCUCCCAGUAGGUGUGUUAUAACCAGCUGACAGCAUGCUGAAAGUGUCAACUGAUUAUUUUCAUGAAACCACUGUGGUUCGCUCUGCUCCAUUACAUAUUUUAAGGAGAUGGUCAGGAGUCAGGACAGGGUUUGGAUGGUUGAUGGUUUUGCUUCAUUGUGUUUUUUAAGGUGUCAUCUAGCUGUUUGAUAUAAUGUCACAGAAUCAAAUGCAAAAUCUGAAGAUUCAUGACAUCUUUAGAUUUCAGGUCAAUCUAAUCUGAAUUAAGACUCAAAUUAUAGAACAUAGAAAAUAUUCUCUUUUUGUUUGGAUUAUGUUUAAUAACUGCAUAAGUUAGAAUCACAAAUCAGAACAUGGAAAAUUCUCUCUGAUUUUUUUUUUCUUGGGCCUAUGUACCAAAUACCAGAUAUUGAAGCAGAGAUUAGUCCGAAAAAUGUUCUUUGUAAGCUGGUAUGAUUGAGGGAGCAUCUAGAAGUGGAUUUUAGCUGAUAAUUCAGUGGAUUGAUGUAAUCAAAUAGGUUUAGUAGGUGCUGUACAUUGUUAAUGUGUUUUUGUUCUAUAUGCUCCUUUCAGCUUAAUUGUGCAUUGUAUUUCUAUAGCUCUUCAUCUGAUAUGAUGUAUUUUUUCGAAAGGUAUUGUUAUGCACGCAGAUAAGUCAGACCUUUUUAGAGAGUAAUAAGUGCAAUCCUAUUAUAAAUGUCAAAUCC